UUGAUUUCAUGAAAUGUUUUUUACAUUUCCAAAAACGACAAAAACUAUUUAACUGGUGUAAGGAGAGAAUAAAAAUUAUAACUUAUCAAGUAAAAAAAAAACAAUUGUUUACAUAGAAAGGAAGAUGGCUGAAAUUGUCAAGUUUAUUUACGUUAUGAUAAUCUUUCUUUACCUAUUUCUUGUCUCAACAAACAUCGAAGCGCGUCAAGGAUGUAAAAUAGAUUAUGAUUGUAUAAAAGUAGUGUGUAAAGAUGGUCAUGCAGCGAGGUGUAUAAUGCGUCGAUGUGAAUGCGUGGAAAUCUUGAACCCAAUAGAUCUUGGAUCAACAUGAGUCUGCAUCUAGUGUUGGACCAAAGAGAGCACACAAACGUCCUAAUAGAAUAUUUCAUGAGUUGUAAUUUAGUUAUCGUUUUGGCACCCAAUAAUUUGAAUAUUUUUCUCUUUUAAUUUCAAAAACAUUGUAGUUAUGGUUUUAUACUCUAAUAUAAUGGUAAUGAAAUGAAAUAAGGCAGAAAAUAAUUAUAUUUAGAUUGUCUUCUUUAAUUUUCUCUUAAUUUUAAAGAUAUCAUUGUGUCCUUCAAAUCAUGCAUAUCACUUUUUCUUUCUAACCUUGCAGUUCAUACCAUGAAUAUGGAAAUAGGUUAUUGUUGGUCAGCUACGAGGUGUGGAAUAGCUCGUAAUACAUGAUAUCACACUGACUUUCCUUGGUCUGUCAAAGUGGUCGUACAAUCGGCAAUGGUAUCUGGAAAUUGGGUAUGGUGGCAGGUGAUGCUAGGGACAGUUUUGUUGUUCUUCCCAUAGGUGAUGCCACUGGUCUGAAGUGAUUAAAAAUAGAAGAGCAAAGUUUGGGAGUACAUGCAAGCACGUUGAUGCUUAAGUAAGUAUAAGAGCAAAGAGUGUGAGGCAUUCAAAGGAUAAAUAGUGUGUACAUUGUUGGUGGAAUGGUGGUGAAAAAUGCCUUUUGUUGGCUUCGGCACAGAGUUGUUGGAGAGUUUAUAAGAGGUCAUUACAAACGGUGCGUCAUCGAUGUCAAGCUCUUGCGUCAAUUACUAGUCGUUGAGGCGUUGCACAAUAGAGAAUCACAAAGUAGUCGCUCGACGAUGGGUCUAAAGCUCUUGCAUCAAUUACUAGUCGUUGAGGCGUUGCACAAUAAAGAAUCACAAAUAGUCGCUCGACAACGGGUCCAAAGCUCUUGGACCUUGGGCCAGUACAAAACAAGUCAUUUUGUCAAUGGUUUUACUUCACAAUUU